rnacentral:rRNA from 1 species
GACGAACGCUGGCGGCGUGCCUAAUACAUGCAAGUAGAACGCACAGUUUAUACCGUAGCUUGCUACACCAUAGACUGUGAGUUGCGAACGGGUGAGUAACGCGUAGGUAACCUGCCUGGUAGCGGGGGAUAACUAUUGGAAACGAUAGCUAAUACCGCAUAAUAUUAAUUAUUGCAUGAUAAUUAAUUGAAAGGUGCAAUUGCACCACUACCAGAUGGACCUGCGUUGUAUUAGCUAGUAGGUGAGGUAACGGCUCACCUAGGCGACGAUACAUAGCCGACCUGAGAGGGUGAUCGGCCACACUGAGACUGAGACACGGCCCAGACUCCUACGGGAGGCAGCAGUAGGGAAUCUUCGGCAAUGGACGAAAGUCUGACCGAGCAACGCCGCGUGAGUGAUGAAGGUUUUCGGAUCGUAAAGCUCUGUUGUAAGAGAAGAACGGGUGUGAGAGUGGAAAGUUCACACUGUGACGGUAUCUUACCAGAAAGGGACGGCUAACUACGUG